rnacentral:rRNA from 1 species
UACAGAGGGUGCGAGCGUUAAUCGGAAUUACUGGGCGUAAAGGGCGCGUAGGCGGUUAAUUAAGUUAGAUGUGAAAUCCCUGGGCUUAACCUAGGAACUGCAUCUGAUACUGGUUGGCUAGAGUGCGGUAGAGGGUAGUGGAAUUUCCGGUGUAGCGGUGAAAUGCGUAGAUAUCAGGAGGAACACCGGUGGCGAAGGCGGGUCUCUGGGCCGAUACUGACGCUGAGGAGCGAAAGCGUGGGGAGCAAACAGG